rnacentral:rRNA from 1 species
AUCCGGGUGCUUGCACCUGGGGAUUAGUGGCGAACGGGUGAGUAACACGUGAGUAACCUGCCCUGGACUCUGGGAUAACCCCGAGAAAUCGGAGCUAAUACCGGAUAGGACCUGGAACCGCAUGGUUUUGGGUGGAAAGUUUUUCGGUCUGGGAUGGACUCGCGGCCUAUCAGCUUGUUGGUGAGGUAAUGGCUCACCAAGGCGUCGACGGGUAGCCGGCCUGAGAGGGUGACCGGCCACACUGGGACUGAGACACGGCCCAGACUCCUACGGGAGGCAGCAGUGGGGAAUAUUGCACAAUGGGCGCAAGCCUGAUGCAGCAACGCCGCGUGAGGGAUGACGGCCUUCGGG